GGGAUUAGCACUAUCAGUGUGGUAGUGGGGAUUAGCAUCAUCAGCGUGGUGGUGGGGAUGAGCAUCAUCAGUGUGGUAGUGGGGAUUAGCAUCACCAGUGUGGUAGUGGGGAUUAGCAUCAUCAUUGUGGUAGUGGGGAUUAGCAUCAUCAGCAUGGUAGUGGGGAUUAGCACUAUCAGUGUGGUAGUGGGGAUUAGCAUCAUCAGCGUGGUGGUCGGGAUUAGCAUCAUCAGAGUGGUAGUGGGGAUUAGCAUCAUCAGAGUAGUAGUGGGGAUUAGCAUCAUCAUUGUGGUGGUGGGGAUUAGCAUCAUC
ensembl:lncRNA